UUUACAGGUCUUCAGAAGAAGAGGAGCCCAGGCACGGUGGCUCAUGCCUGUAAUCCCAGCACUUUGGGAGGUCGAGGUGGGAGAAUCAGCUGAGUUCAGGAGUUCAAGACCAGCCUGACCAACAUGGUGAAACCUCAUCUCUACUAAAAAUACAAAAAGUAGCCAGGCAUGGUGGUGGACACCUGUAAUCCCAGCUACUCAGGAGGCUGAGGCAGGAGAAUCGCUUGAACCCCAGAGGCAGAGAUUGCAGUGACCUGAGAUCGUGCCACUGCACUCCAGCCUGGGCAACAGAGUGAAACUUCUUUAAAAAAGAAAAAAAAAAAGAAGAGGAGGAAUUGUAUUCUGGAAGUAUACUUAAGGUAAUACAGUUGAGAAAUCUCAUCUAUACAUGGACCUGAUUUAGAUGAUGAAAUUCUAGACUUUGAGCUGAUGCUAUAAUGGGAUUCGACUUUGGGGUAGCUUGAGAGGGAGCGAGUGUAUUUUGCAUGUGGAAGGAAUGUAAAUCACCAGAAUUCAGAGGGCAUGCUCGUGGUGGCCAUUCUUUAAAACAUCCCCCAGUGAUUCCGACCUCCUGAUAUGCAUGCCUUUCCAUAGUCUCCUACAUUGUGUCUGGGUUGGUCUGCAAAGCCAAUGCAGUAUGAAAUGAUGUGUGUGACUUCCAAAGCUAGGUCCUAAAAGACAUUAGGGCUUUCCGUCUCCUCCCUCCCCACUCUCCCUCUUUCUUGUUCUGCUUUCUCUGAGAGAAAUUAACUACUAUGUCAUGAGGUCACUCAAGAAACUCUAUGGAGAGGUCCACGUGGCAAGGAACUGAGCCCUCCUGCUACGAGCCAGUGAGGAACUGAACCCUCCAACUACCAACCACGUGGGGCAGCCAUCUUGGAAACAGAUCCUCCUGCCCCGGUUAAGACUUCAGAUGACUACAGCCAAUCUCUUGACUGAAACCUCAUAAGACUCUUGAACUAGAACCAACUGACUCCCAAAACUGUGUAAGGUGAUGUCCACUGGUCACUUAUGUGUACCCUCUCUGUCCCGAUAUGGCUCCAGGACACUGACAUCAGAUGAUAUUUCCAAGGUCCAACUCUCCUCCACAGCCUGCCAAAGCUGGUCAAAAAGAGGAGUCACUUCCCUCAAGGAUGAACUGUAAAGGAAUGCC